AAAAAAAGAUCCAUUUCUGCCACCUGCCCUGAGAACCUCUGGCCUUGCGCCAGCCAGCAGCCUCGCUUUUCAUUACAAGGACGAGUCUGACACCAACGUGGGGAGGAGCCCAGAGUCCCAUUUCCUGUGGCAGCAGCUGGUCAAGUCUCUUUAUAAACCUGAUAAUGCCUUUGAGUUCUGCUAGACUCAUACUCACCGGGAGGAAAGUUACAUAACUGGAAAUGAUUAGAAGAUAAGGCUUCGAGCACCAUGCUACCCAAUUUGGGGAUGAGUUCUUAACGCCUCAGCAUUUUCUCCUCGGGAAGCCUUACAGGGUAUGAAAGCGCACCUUCAAAUAACGGCAGACACCUGCGAAGCAAAUUGUUAUGGGAACAUACCGCUGGUCCCAUACCAGCAACUGGACCCUGGCCCUCAUGUGGCCCAACCAAAAAAAAAAGGAAGUUAUCCUUACACAGGGUUCAAGACAGGAAACCCAAAUGCCCGUAAGCAUAUUCAAAGGUGCUCAGCCCCUUUAGUCAGCAGGAAGAUGCAAAUGAAAACCACAGUGAGAGUCCAGAGCAGACCAAAAAAAAAUCAGAGCCAAGGUCGCUUCUGGUGGGUGGGGGCAGGGACUAACAGGGGAAGGGGCUUGAAGGCUACGGCCACGCUCUGUAACUUGAUGGGUUUGGGGCCACGCAGGUAGGUGUAGGUAGCUGCCAAAACUCACCAAAGGACUUACGUAAACACACUGGACGAUAUGUCAAUUAAACCUCAAAGGAAUAAAAUAAGUGCCCGCCCUGUGCUGUGGUUAGUGCUCUGUAUGCUGAAGCUUUUAGGGUGAGGGGUAGGUACAGAUGUUCUCAGCUUACCUGGAAAUGCCUCCCCCCAAAAUACAAUGGAUGGAUGGAGAGAAGAACAGAUCUAUGUUAAAGCAAGCAAAAUAAAGUGCUAAUGACAGGGAACGAUAGCCGGUCUCCAGGGAUAAAGCAAGAUCACAGAAGAAGAGGAGGAGUUCCCGUUGUGACUCGGUGGGUUAAGAACCCGACAGUGUCCGCGAGGUGUGAUUCCUAGCCUUGCUCAGUGGGUUAAGGAUCCGGCAUUGUCAUGAGCUGCAGCACAGGUCACAGAGGUGGUUCACAUCCCACGUUGCUGUGGCCGGGCUGUAGGUGGGUAGCUGCGGCUCCAAUUCGACCCCUGGCCUGGGAACUUCCUCAUGCCUCAGGUGCGUGUUCCCCCCAACCCCCCGCCAAAAAAAAAGAAGACAGAGAAAGAGAAUGUGUGUGUGUGUAUACACACAAAUAUGACUGGGUCACUCUGCUGUACAGAAGAAAUUGGCAGAACAUUGUAAAUCAACUAUACUUUAAUUAAAAAAUAAAUGAGUGAGGAGUGGGGACUACGAAAUUCUCACAAUUUUUCUGGACAUUUGUAAUUUUUCAUAAUAAAACACUGAAGUUGUUUAGAUGGAAAAGGGAAAGAUAAAACAUGCAACGUGAGACUAAUACACACGCAUCCAAAUGUCUGAAAUUCCAAAGGCCACGCAUGGCAAGCGGGGGCCAGGAUGUGGUGCAACCGGAACUGAGACAAUGCUGGCCGAAAAAUAGCAAAAGGUCCCAGGGAAAGAGGACUCCCACGUGCCCACUCCUGGGUCACUAUGGCCAGAGGGAGUCAGGUCAAGCCUGGAUCACAGGGCCCCCUUCAGGGUUCAAGGGUAUCACCAGCUCCAACAAAAGCAUUCCUUUUCUCUGCAUCCCCCACACCUGUGGUUCUCCAAAGAAAAAGGGAGACGCUAGUACCAGAAUAAGGAGAGUGAGGGACAGUAAAGAAGAGCUACCUACACAGUCGGUGGCAUCUGUGCCCCCUAACUCAAGCAUCCGAGCAGAUUUCUACCAUGGCCCCUGGAGGAAGGUCACGGUCUUUGAACUUGAACUUCCUCAGGCCUCACACAUUUCAGCUGUCAAUCCACUUGGUGGUUAUGUGGAUCAAAUAUGCCCACUACUUAGGCAGCAACAUCCAAUGACAGAUGAGGAAGCCAAAGAGAGGCAGACAACGUGCCCAUCAGCCCCCACUCCACAGGUGCACACUGGCCCCUCUGAAGAUGCACAGAUGCUGCGCCUUGGCCAUGAACCAGCCCUUCUCUGGCCGACGGGCUGAGGGAGCAGGAACUGCUCCAUAUGAGAAUCACACAACCUGUUUUCAGAGAGCUGGGCACACUUGUUUCAGGAGGGGGUAAAAAAAAUCCCAUGAAUCCUCUCUCUCCAGGAGGGGCCUACAUGUUUUAGGAAUGGUGUGAACCAUGCCUAGCUGUCAUUUCCUAAAUUUCUUUAAAGGACUCAAUUUAUCCUUCAAGUUUCUCAGGAUCCCCC
rnacentral:lncRNA from 1 species